UUUUUUUCUUUUCUUUUCUUUUUUUUUUAAAUUAACCAUGGGUGGUGGCACAUGCCUGCAGUCCCAACUAAUCAGGAGGCUAAAGCAGAAGGACCACUCGAGCCCAGGAAUUCCAGGUUACAGUGAGAUAUGAUCUUGCCACUGCACUCUAGCCUGGGUGAGACAGUGAGACUCCAUCCCUAAAGUAAGAAUUAUAAAAAUAAUAGCUUCAUAUGUCAACACAUUCACCAAUGCUGAGGCCGAUUUCCUCCAAAUCAUGUUAGUAUAUUAAACCGUUAUAAUACAUGGAUUUUGAGGAAAGUCCUUGAAUUAGUAAUGGUAGUUAGUGAAUCUUUUAUGUGGAUAUUUUCACAACCAUGAGGAGAGAACACCACGCUUUUGCUUCCCCACCACUGCUCCACUGGUAUAAGUCCAUCUCAUUAGGGACAUUACCUGCCCUGGCAUAGGACGGUGAGCAGCUUCCAGCCUCUGCCUCUGUUUUUUCCAAAUUCCUCAGCAAGGAUCAAUAUUCUAGGUGUGAAGAUCCCAGGACAAGCAGUAAAGAUGUGAAGAGGUUUCCAUUAAUGGGAUUCAAGGUUUAGGCCUCCAUUAGCACAACAACAUUCAAAGGACCACCACCCAAAUAGCCCAACAGUAAAUACAAACUGGAGCGUGGGCUGUUGAAUCAGAGCUCCAGGUUACAAGCUCAGUUUAAGGAGAUAGAAGGAGUUCAUCUUUAAAGAGGGAAAGAGACCAAUAGAGGCUCAGUCUCCUCAUCUGUAAACCAUGGAUAAAAAUACCACAGAAUCGUUAAGAUAGCAACUGAGAAAAUACGCAUAGAAACAACUGGCAUAGCACCUGGUACACACAUAAACAUGCAAUAAAUGUUUGCAAUUAUUACUAUUUGAUAGAAGAAUGAAAAAGUGUAAAAGAAAACAGAUAUCUCACAGGGGAAAAGAAAAUACUGAGAGAAGAGAUGAGAAAUUUUCAUAAGGCAAUAACGAGAAAUGUGAAUGACAUUCAAUGAAUGCCAAUUCUAAAAAAAAUUAAAUAAUCCCAAGAUCUAAAACAUCUUGGCAUAUGCUUUAUCCCAUUUAGUAUCCAUUCUGGGAUCUAAAUAAAUAUGAUAUAAUACAUUAAUAUAUUACUAUAUGUUAGUCACCAUAUAAUAAUGAUCAAAGUAUCAGAAAAGCACAGCCUAUGAGAAGUGCAAAU
rnacentral:lncRNA from 1 species